ACUCUUCCUCAUUUUAAAUUUUGUAGAUAAAACUGUUCGUUUGUGUUUUUCAGGUUAUUGGAAUUGGAGAGAAGCGAGGAAUGUCUUACUCUAAUGCUGUGUUUGGUUGGGGGAUUUGGAGAGGGAUUUGGAAAGAGAAAUGGAAACGGUGCAACAACUUAGGAAAGAACUAGGUGACAUUCAGUCCGAGUACGCGAGACUGGUGGCUGAAUCGGAAUCAAUGAACAUAGUUAAGGAUGAGAAAACUAUAAAUGGAUAAUUUCUUUGGAUUUUAUUUUUUGUGGUAAAUAACCUGAUGUUUUGUACAUUGUUAUCACAAAAUCUAUAUAUCAUUUUGGAGUACUAAAUAGUUGAACACGUCAUAGUUUUGGUUCGGGAGUUUCUAAAUACACCAUUUUGUACAAUUGGGUGCAGAGAGAUA